rnacentral:rRNA from 1 species
UACGGAGGGUGCGAGCGUUGUCCGGAAUCACUGGGCGUAAAGGGCGCGUAGGUGGCCUGUGGAAGUCUGCGGUGAAAGCCCGGCGCUCAACGCCGGGUCGGCCGUGCAUACUCUCGGGCUCGAGCUUACUAGAGGCAGAUGGAAUUCCGGGUGUAGCGGUGGAAUGCGUAGAGAUCCGGAAGAACACCGGUGGCGAAGGCGGUCUGCUGGGGUAAUGCUGACACUGAUGCGCGACAGCGUGGGGAGCAAACAGG